GUAGUCCACGCCGUAAACGUUGGGCGCUAGGUGUGGGGGCCAUUCCACGGUCUCCGUGCCGCAGCUAACGCAUUAAGCGCCCCGCCUGGGGAGUACGGCCGCAAGGCUAAAACUCAAAGGAAUUGACGGGGGCCCGCACAAGCGGCGGAGCAUGUUGCUUAAUUCGAUGCAACGCGAAGAACCUUACCUAGGCUUGACAUGCACGGAAAUCUCGCAGAGAUGCGGGGUGCCUUUGGCGUCGUGCACAGGUGGUGCAUGGUUGUCGUCAGCUCGUGUCGUGAGAUGUUGGGUUAAGUCCCGCAACGAGCGCAACCCUCGUUCCAUGUUGCCAGCACGUGAUGGUGGGGACU
rnacentral:rRNA from 1 species